AGUGAACGCUGGCGGCAGGCCUAACACAUGCAAGUCGAGCGGCAGCGCGGGUGUAGCAAUACAUCUGGCGGCGAGCGGCGGACGGGUGAGGAAUACAUCGGAAUUUACCCAAUCGUGGGGGAUAACGUAGGGAAACUUACGCUAAUACCGCAUGAACUGGAGACAGCAAAGCGGCGGACCUUCGGCGUCGCGCGGUUGGAUGAGCCGAUGUCGGAUUAGCAGUUGGGCGGGGUAAAGGGACCCACCCGAGGCGACGAUCCGUAGCUGGUCUGAGAGGAUGAUCAGCCACACUGGAACUGAGACACGGUCCAGACUCCUACGGGAGGCAGCAGUGGGG
rnacentral:rRNA from 1 species